rnacentral:rRNA from 1 species
UGCAAAAGGGUCAAAGCCCUAGCCGCCAACCUUCCUUGUCAAGCCCGCGGCCCCUCCGCCUCAUCUCCUCCCCGUCCCUCCUCUCCAAUGCCGCCGCCCUCGAUGCGCCAUGAGGGCACCGUCGACACGUCAGGGAUACACCGUGAUGGAGCUCAGCCCAAGCCCAGCAGAAGCCACUCCUAACCAUGUUCGCUCGAUUGACAAGAGCAGGGCGGAAGAUUGGAUCGAGGGCGCCCGCAUGGCCUCGCCGCCGCUGUCACCUGGAUUCGCUAGCCGCCUCCUUGAGUCACACCCGUCGCCGCCGCGAGUAAGCUCCACCGUUGCUGCCAGGAAUCUCGUCCCCGGCAAGGUAAUUUCCUCUGAAUCCCUGCUCUCCCUAACUCCCUUAUCCUGCUGCCCUACUUGCUGCGUGUGUGCUGUGUGCUGUGUGCGUUUAGCCAUGAUCUCCGCGAGAAAGCUCAAGUCCCUCGACUUUUACAGGUACCAUCCGCCUCCCUUCCGAUCUUCAGAUCUCCAUAUGUGGUGAAUGUGGUGUUUUGGUUUUUCGUCGGAUUACUAUCUGUAUUCGGGGAUUAGCUAUGAAUUGAUGUUUUUUACUUCGAGCGUGGAUAUUCGACAGUAGUGAUUUAGGUCUUUUUGUAGAACAGAAUGAUUAACUUGGUCUAUUUAUGGAAAACUGGUAGAUGAUAUAUGUAUGAACGAUCGUAACACUGAAAAUGCAAAAUUUACAAUAUGGUGUAAUGAUGGUUGGUGGGGUGUGACUUUUUUGCUGGCAUUGUCCAGUGCAGUUUUUAGAUUUCUACUGAGUAGGACCGUGUUUUGGGAUUUGUUUUUGUGUUGAUGUUUGCAGGAAAAUUCCUAGGGAUUUUAUUGACGGAGGCAUCACUAUCUGCUGCUGGAUUAUCCAUUUUUGUAGCACUAGCAAUGCUAGGCCGCUCAUGCCAAGCAUCGUUUCACAUUCAGGGAGGUUUACUCUCCCUCGAGGUAAGCGUCGAUGCAAUGGAUAUUGAUUUUGGCUUCGGUGCAAAUUGAGUACAGACGUUUCGGCAUCAUUUUAAAAUUGUUUGGUGUCCAUGAAUUUGCCGAUGAGCUUGGCGUGCACCAGCUGCCUCAUGUAGGAUUUUGGCGCUCGUGAUCUUCCUUGCUUAGCAAACUACUAUGGUUGCUGAUCCAUCACAAUAUUGACCAUGAACUUUGUGCAUCUCUGAGGUUCUUUUGCAUGAGGAAACGGAAGGAUAUCUUCGUCCUCAGCACAUCGGUGUCUAAGGCUGCUUCCUGUGUCACUGCGCCGGCAGAGUGCAAGAACAAACAUUAAUGUAUCAGUGUAGAUAAUUGUAUCUUUCUUUUUUCAUUGAUUUAAGAUACUCACAUAUAUAUGGUUACCAAUGCUCUACCGUACCUAAUUGUUGGUUCUAAUUGGCUUCUCUAUCAGAGAGUCAAGCCACAACUUUGACAAAUCUGCUAUCAUGUUCAGUAAAAAUACCAAGAAUGAUGUUCGAAAAGCUAUGCUGCACCAUCUGGG